rnacentral:rRNA from 1 species
GUAGUCCACGCCGUAAACGAUGGAUACUAGAUGUCGGACGCCUUGCCCGUCCGGUGUCGUAGCUAACGCGUUAAGUAUCCCGCCUGGGAAGUACGGUCGCAAGAUUAAAACUCAAAGAAAUUGACGGGGGCCCGCACAAGCGGUGGAGUAUGUGGUUUAAUUCGAUGCAACGCGAAAAACCUUACCUAGGCUUGACAUCCCGCGCUAUCCUAUGAAAGUAGGAGUUCCCUUCGGGGACGCGGUGACAGGUGUUGCAUGGCUGUCGUCAGCUCGUGUCGUGAGAUGUUGGGUUAAGUCCCGCAACGAGCGCAACCCUCGCUACUAGUUGCUACCAUUUAGUUGGGCACUCUAGUAGGACCGCUUGCCGAUAAGGCAGA